UAAUCCAAGAAUUUCACCUCCAACUGCUAAAUACGGAUACAACCAACUAUCCCUAUUAGUCAUUAUCACAGCUCAUUAACCAUCAUAAUGUCGCAACAACCCUUUAACACUAUUCCAUGCUAAUGUGUUCGAUGCAUAUGCAUAUCCAGAACAUUCUAAUUUUCUCAAGGUACAUGGUAUGAUAUCAUCAUUGCACAUGUGAGCAAGACAAAUCAUGAACAUGCGGGCACCAACCAAUAUGCUCACCCCGUGGGCGGACCGGUCAGCACCUGCAGGAAUACAACUACGAGCAUUUUAACCACAGCAACUUUAAUAUACGCUAUUGGAGCUGGAAUUACCGC
rnacentral:misc_RNA from 1 species